rnacentral:rRNA from 1 species
UCAGGCUUUCAGGAGAUACUGUCUGGCUCGAGGCCGGGAGAGGUGAGAGGUACUUCAGGGGUAGGGGUGAAAUCUUGUAAUCCUUGAAGGACCACCAGUGGCGAAGGCGUCUCACCAGAACGGACCUGACGGCAAGGGACGAAAGCUAGGGGCACGAACCGGAUUACAUACCCGGGUAGUCCUAGCCGUAAACGAUACUCGCUAGGUGUCGGCCACGGUGCGACCGUUGUCGGUGCCGUAAGGAAGCCGUGAAGCGAGCCGCCUGGGAAGUACGGCCGCAAGGCUGAAACUUAAAGGAAUUGGCGGGGGAGCACCACAACGGGUGGAGCUUGCGGUUUAAUUGGAUUCAACGCCGGAAAUCUUACCGGGACCGACAGCAAUAUGAAGGCCAGGCUGAACACUUUGCCGGAUUAACUGAAAGGUGGUGCAUGGCCGUCGUCAGUUCGGACUGUGAAACAUAA